GGAGAGAUGGCCGAGUGGACUAAGGCGUCCCGCUCGAAACGGGAUAUCCCGACAAAAUCGGGAUCGGGGGUUCGAAUCCCUCUCUCUCCG
rnacentral:tRNA from 1 species